CUGAUGUAUCGGUAAUCGAUUAUCGAUAAAUCAAAAGCAAGCGGAAAGCUUGCGUGCUAAUUUAUGUAUUGUAUUUAACAAUUUAAUUGAGAACCGUCAAAGGGAGCAGUUGAAACCGCCGUAGAUGACGUAAUGGAGUCGAUUACCUUUGGAGUUCUGACCAUUAGUGACACCUGUUGCCAGGAACCGGCAAAGGAUAAAAGUGGUCCCAGGCUGAAGCAACUGAUCGCCGAGUCCUUCACCAAUGCCCAGGUGAUAGAGAGUAUUGUCCCGGACGAGAAGGACCACAUCCAGCGGGUGCUGCGCGAGUGGAUCGAUAGGAAGGAGCUGCGGGUGAUCCUGACCACCGGUGGAACAGGAUUCGCUCCACGGGAUGUGACUCCAGAGGCCACCAGACCGCUGCUGGAGAAGGAGUGCCCCCAACUUUCGUUGGUCAUAACUUUAGAAUCCCUAAAAAAGACCCAAUUCGCGGCUCUUUCCCGCGGGCUCUGUGGCAUUGCGGGGAAUACCCUGAUCCUCAAUUUUCCGGGCAGCGAAAAGGCCGUUAAAGAGUGCUUCGAGACCGUGAGGGAACUCCUGCCUCAUGCUCUGCAUCUCAUCGGUGACGAGGUGUCUCUGGUGCGCAAAACCCAUGCGGAGGUGCAAGGAUCCGCGCCCAGGGGUCACAUUUGCCCCCAUAAAACGGGGGCCGGAAGUGAUUCCGAUCGCAAUUCCCCUUUUCCCAUGCUGCCCGUCGAGGAGGUGCUCUCUAUAAUCUUCGACACGGUGCAGAGGACCAGCAGUCUGGACAAGAUCUUGUGGCAGCUGAACUCGCCCGUGAACAUUCCACCCUUCAGGGCUUCCAUCAAGGAUGGCUACGCCAUGAAGUCCACCGGAUUCUCGGGCAGCAAGCGCGUUUUGGGCUGCAUAGCCGCCGGAGAUGCACCCAAUUCAUCGCCACUGGCGGAGGAUGAGUGCUUCAAAAUCAACACCGGAGCACCUCUGCCAUUGGAGGCGGAUUGCGUGGUGCAGGUGGAGGACACAAAAUUGCUGCAACGGGACAAGCACGGCCGGGAAAGCCUGGUGGACAUCAUAGUGGAGCCAAUGGCUGGCUUAGACGUGCGGCCUGUGGGUCACGACCUGAGCACCAAGGAUCGUGUUUUUCCCGCUCCAGAUCCCUCGCCUGUGGUGGUCAAAUCCCUGCUGGCCUCCGUGGGCAACCGUCUGGCUGUGCCCAAGCCCAGGGUGGCCAUAGUGUCCACUGGCAGCGAGCUACUCUCUCCACGUGAUCAACCCACUCCGGGCAAGAUCUUCGACUCGAACACCACGAUGUUGGCGGAACUGCUGCUCUACUUUGGUUUCGACUGCGUGCACACGAGCGUGCUAAGCGAUAGCUUUGAACAGACGAAGGAAUCGCUGUCUGAUCUCUUUGAGGUGGUGGACUUUGUCAUCUGCAGUGGCGGUGUCUCAAUGGGCGACAAGGAUUUCGUGAAGCCCGUGCUGGAGGACCUCCAGUUUAAACUUCACUGCGGCCGGGUGAACAUGAAGCCAGGCAAGCCCAUGACCUUCGCCAGCCGCAAUGAGAAGUACUUCUUCGGCCUGCCCGGGAAUCCAGUGUCAGCCUUUGUCACAUUCCACCUGUUCGCCCUGCCCGCCAUCCGCUGGGCUGCCGGCUGGGAACGCCAGAAGUGCUCCCUGCCCGUGAUCAAUGUGAAGUUGCUGAACGGCUUCUAUUUGGAUAGCCGUCCGGAGUUUGUUCGAGCCUCAGUGAUUUCCAAAUCUGGAGAGCUGUACGCCAGUGUUAAUGGAGAUCAGAUAAGCAGCCGCCUACAGAGCAUUGUGGGUGCGGAUGUUUUAAUCAACCUGCCAGCAGCAACCUCUGAUCGCCCAUUGGCGAAAGCUGGCGAAGUUUUCCCCGCCUCCGUGCUGCGAUACGACUUUAUCUCCAAGUACGAAUAGGAAUAGCUGCCAGGACAGACGCCAAGAAGCCUGCAUAACCCUCGAAUGUUAGACAAACACGACAAUACACCUUCGUAGAUUAGCACAAAGAUUUAUUUUUUCAUAUAUCGUAACAUCACGUACAAUGUCCAUCAAUUACACCUUUAGCAGUGUGUACAAAAACGAGUAUAAAAUAGAUUAAAACAGAGUACGGAGAGCAGGACCUGGAACGGGAUAAGGUCAAGAAAAACGGAAUCGGGACGGGAUCAGGAGCAUAUAUACAGGAAGUGGAAGGAAGCGGGUCUCAAACCGACUGGGUGGCGGACUCGCCGACGACUGGAGAUACCGGCCUUUGGAGGCGCAGCGAGGAGCGGCAUGG